UCUUUAUAUAGAAAAUUCUGUACCUCCCUGACGUUGCACCCAUAGAAGUAUAUUAUAUUUAGUUGGGGUGACACGAAGUAUUAAACACUUCUUUAGUGCACGAACAUUUAAGGCUAGAUGACCCGGUGCGCCGAUCAAAAAAUUAAGU
rnacentral:rRNA from 1 species